rnacentral:rRNA from 1 species
CACGGGUGCGUAACACGUAUACAAUCUACCUAAAACAGGGGGAUAGCCUUUCGAAAGAGAGAUUAAUACCCCGUAAUAUAGAGAAUGGCAUCAUUUUUUAUUGAAAGCUCCGGCGGUUUUAGAUGAGUAUGCGUCUGAUUAGCUAGUAGGUGAGGUAACGGCUCACCUAGGCGACGAUCAGUAGGGGAUCUGAGAGGACUACCCCCCACACUGGUACUGAGACACGGACCAG